GUUCCAUUGUGCCAAUUAUCCGGCAAUUGUAACAGAUGGAAUGGACUUGAUCUGGGAAGCCAUACUGUAGCAUUAUAACUGAUUGCUUAUUAUGGCGGCUACUCCAUGCAGGUGCUGAGUGUAUUGUAAUGGAGAAGACGGGCACUUGUCGUGCAGUGUGCGUCUGAUGCCGAUAGAAUACGUUGUCGGUGAUAGAUUUUAUUUCCAGUGAUAGCUUUUCAUUUUCACCUGCAGGUAUCCAUGCAGCAGUGAUGACGAGGAAUCGUAUCUGAUCUUUUAGAAGAAAGGGAUAUCUCUCAGGACAGUUUUAUACAUUAAGAAAAAUAGUGCCAGGGCUGCCUUGAUGGGGGUACAGUCCAUAUAGGUGUAUGGGGCCCAGGCCGGUUUGCAGAGGGCCUCCCACUCUUAGGAGGUGCAAGGAGCAUGUCAGGGUGGCAGUCCAGUGACCGGGACCCAGACACAGUCUGGGCGGCGGUCGGACGACCAGGACCCAGUAUGCCUGAAGUUGAAAGUAGGAGUCACAGUGUGGAAGUGGAUUAGCAGGGUCUGGUGCAGGGUAACCGCACGCGCCCUGGUGUUGAGCACCAGCGUUCGUGCGGUCACAUACCAAGACCCUGAUGCAGCUUUAGCGGAUCCCAGGAACUUGGAGCUUUGAAAUAAGGAGACCUCCCAGGAGCUGGAUAGGGAGGCUCUGCAGCAGGAAAGUAUCCAGUACAGAAACAAGGCAAGGCUAGGAAAGGCACCAAACAUGGAAACAAGACAGAACUAAUAGAACCCAGACCCAGAGAAGGAUAGGAAGCUAAACCCAGAACAUGUACACAAUACAUUGGAAACAUUGACAUUACAUGUGCAGGACUGGACAGGAUAGUACAUGGACUGGGAAUACAAACUAAAAGAAGACAUGAUAUGAUAGGCAAAUAAGAG